CUGCUUUGGCAGCACAUAUUCAAAAAUUGAAAUGAUACAGAGAAAAUAAGCAUGGCCCAAUGCAAGGCUGACAAGCAAAUUCAUGUUUUUCCAUAUUA
ensembl:snRNA U6 U6 spliceosomal RNA